UACAGAGGUCCCAAGCGUUGUUCGGAUUCACUGGGCGUAAAGGGUGCGUAGGUGGUCGGGUAAGUCUGAUGUGAAAUCUCUGGGCUCAACCCAGAAAUGGCAUUGGAUACUAUUCGGCUAGAGGAGUGGAGGGGGGACUGGAAUACUUGGUGUAGCAGUGAAAUGCGUAGAUAUCAAGUGGAACACCAGUGGCGAAGGCGAGUCCCUGGACACUUCCUGCACUGAGGCACGAAAGCUAGGGGAGCAAACAGG
rnacentral:rRNA from 1 species